rnacentral:misc_RNA from 1 species
UCAUUACCAAUUUCGGGGGACUUCGGUCCCUGUCUGAAACCCUUGUCUUUUGAGUACCAUUUGUUUCCUUGGUAGGCUUUGCCUACCAAUAGGACACCACUUAACCUCUUGUAAUUGCAAUCAGCGUCAGAAAAACAUAAUAGUUACAACUUUCAACAACGGAUCUCUUGGUUCUGGCAUCGAUGAAGAACGCAGCGAAAUGCGAAAAGUAGUGUGAAUGCAGAAUUCAGUGAAUCAUCGAUCUUUGAACGCACAUGCGCCCCUUGGUAUUCCAGGGGCAUGCCUGUUCGAGCGUCAUUUGUACUUCAAGCUCUGCUUGGUGUUGGGUGUUUGUCCCGCUUUGUGCGUGG